AAGAGUUGAGUGUGUGUUGCGCGACACAACUUUGAAUAAAUUCCAAACUGCAUACUUGUGUUCUUUCUAGAGCGUAUAGCGAGUACGAAAGUCAACUGUCAUUUAUCAAGUGCGAUUCCAAACAUAAGAACGCGAAAAGGCAAGGACAGAUGGCAACUGACGCGUUCAUUUCACUCCAUGGCAUUGGCUUGGCAGGACAAAAGUCUUCCCCGACUGGUUUAUAGGUUGAAGCCCAUCCCACCCCACUCCAUCACCCAGACAGAUGGAAAGAACUUGGGAACCUUCCAUCCAGCAGGAAAAUCCCCGUAUCCCAGGAGUUUAUAACAUCACUGUUAGAACUAGAUCCACACGUUAUUCUCUAUCAGAAUUGUCAAGUCAUUGUAACAUAUGAAGGUCAUUCUAAAAUACAGAUGUGGGUCAUUUCUGUCCCAGGGUACUUCACUGUAUGCAAGUUUUUAUUCCUGCCCAGCACAAACAUGUUCAACUUUUAAUGUUAUACAAUUUAGACCACAAUUAGUUGAAUUUACAUGUUUGUCAUUUAGCAGACGCUCUUAUCCAGAGUAACUUAGUUAGUGCAUA